GGCUCAAUGGUCUAGUGGUAUGAUUCCUGCUUCGGGCGUUACCUGAAGUCACCCUUCCAUCCUACAUGGGAAUGCAGGAGGCCCCGGGUUCGAAUCCCGGUUGAGCCC